ACCCGCUGAAUUUAAGCAUAUAAGUACGCGGAGGAAAAGAAACUAAAUAGGAUUCCCUCAGUAAUGGCGAAUGAACAGGGAUGAGCUCAGUAUGGAAAUUGGGGCCCUGUGGCCUUGAAUUGUAAUCUGGAGAUGUACCACCAACUGGGGCGCAGAUGUAAGCCUCUUGGAAAAGAGCAUCAAUGAGGGUGAGAGUCCCGCUUGGCAUCUGCAGUCCCCAGUGCACGGUGUACCUUCUAAGAGUCACGUUCCUCGGGAUUGGAGCGCAAAUCGGGUGGUAAGUCUCAUCUAAAGCUAAAUAUAGUUUCGAGACCGAUAGCAAACAAGUACCAUGAGGGAAAGGUGAAAAGGACUUUGAAAAGAGAGUUAAAAGUGCCUGAAAUUGCUGAAAGGGAAGCGAAUGGAACCAGCGUAACUUGGCGAGAUUGCUGCGUGUCAAUGUGAUUGCUUGCUGCUUCAACGUAAGUGUCUGAUAGCUAAGUCUUGAACAGGACAUGCGCGGUGCUUCUUGCCUUGUGUGUCACCGUCAAUUCGCAACUGGGGAAAACUUCAGGGACAUGGUAGCCUGUCUCCGGGUGGGUGAACGUGUUUGCUGGAACUCAUUUGCGGAUUGCUUGGUGACUAAAUGGUUCCAUCUGACCCGUCUUGAAACACGGACCAAGG
rnacentral:rRNA from 1 species